rnacentral:rRNA from 1 species
CCUACGGGUGGCAGCAGUCGAGAAUCAUUCACAAUGGGGGAAACCCUGAUGGUGCGACGCCGCGUGGGGGAAUGAAGGUCUUCGGUUUGUAAACCCCUGUCAUGUGGGAGCAAAUUAACAAGAUAAUACCACAAGAGGAAGAGACUGCUAACUCGGUGCCAGCAGCCGCGGUAAAACAGAGGUCUCAAGCGUUGUUCGGGAUCACUGGGGGGAAAGCGUGCGUAGGGUGGUUAGUUAAGCGUGGGUGAAAGGCGCGGGCUCAACACGCGGACCGCUCCUGAUACUGAGAGACUAGAGUAAUGGAGGGGGAACCGGAAUUCUCGGUGUAGCAGUGAAAUGCGUAGAUAUAGAGAGGAACACCCGUGGCGAAGGCGGGUUCCUGGACAUUAACUGACGCUGAGGCACGAAGGCCAGGGGAGCGAAAGGGAUUAGAUACCCGAGUAGUC